GUGCUUGCUUCAGCAUCAGAUAUACUAAAAUUGUAACAAUACAGUGAAGAUCAGCAUGGUCCCUCCACAAGGAUGACAUGGAAAUUCAUAAAGUAUUCCAUUAAAAA
ensembl:snRNA U6 U6 spliceosomal RNA